GAAAGUAGAGAAUCAACCAAGUUGAAGGCCCGAAUCCCAAGGCUCGUGAAGGAUAAAGUGUAGUACAAGUUCUUGCCGUCGUUCUAAGCUACAAAUCAAACUUGGGGUGUUGAUUUCGUGGUGGAUGCUCAUAAAAGAUCAAAGUUGAAAAGGUUGACGAACAUUGUAUUACGCUCAAAGGCUGGAAUUAAGGCAACGAUAUACAGGUUGACGACUCAGCUAUUUAGGAGUGCACGUAUCAGCUACUGGUGAGCCCCAAAUUCCUUCGGGGCGUUGUCAGCUAUCUAGUUAUUUCAGUUUAUAGAAGUACGACUUAAUUAUUAAGUACUCUUAGAGGC